GAUGAACGCUGGCGGCGUGCCUAAUACAUGCAAGUCGAGCGAACAGACGAGGAGCUUGCUCCUCUGACGUUAGCGGCGGACGGGUGAGUAACACGUGGAUAACCUACCUAUAAGACUGGGAUAACUUCGGGAAACCGGAGCUAAUGCCGGAUAAUAUAUUGAACCGCAUGGUUCAAUAGUGAAAGACGGUUUUGCUGUCACUUAUAGAUGGAUCCGCGCCGCAUUAGCUAGUUGGUAAGGUAACGGCUUACCAAGGCAACGAUGCGUAGCCGACCUGAGAGGGUGAUCGGCCACACUGGAACUGAGACACGGUCCAGACUCCUACGGGAGGCAGCAGUAGGGAAUCUUCCGCAAUGGGCGAAAGCUUGGCGGAGCAACGCCGCGUGAGUGAUGAAGGUCUUCGGAUCGUAAAACUCUGUUAUUAGGGAAGAACAAAUGUGUAAGUAACUAUGCACGUCUUGACGGUACCUAAUCAGAAAGCCACGGCUAACUACGUG
rnacentral:rRNA from 1 species